rnacentral:rRNA from 1 species
AGUCGAACGGUCUCUUCGGAGAUAGUGGCGGACGGGUGAGUAACGCGUGAGAAUCUAGCUUCAGGUCGGGGACAACCACUGGAAACGGUGGCUAAUACCGGAUGUGCCGAAAGGUGAAAGAUUUAUUGCCUGAAGAUGAGCUCGCGUCUGAUUAGCUAGUUGGUGUGGUAAGAGCGCACCAAGGCGACGAUCAGUAGCUGGUCUGAGAGGAUGAUCAGCCACACUGGGACUGAGACACGGCCCAGACUCCUACGGGAGGCAGCAGUGGGGAAUUUUCCGCAAUGGGCGAAAGCCUGACGGAGCAAUACCGCGUGAGGGAGGAAGGCUCUUGGGUUGUAAACCUCUUUUCUCAGGGAAUAAAAAAAUGAAGGUACCUGAGGAAUAAGCAUCGGCUAACUCCGUGCCAGCAGCCGCGGUAAUACGGAGGAUGCAAGCGUUAUCCGGAAUGAUUGGGCGUAAAGCGUCCGCAGGUGGCACUGUAAGUCUGCUGUUAAAGAGCAAGGCUCAACCUUGUAAAGGCAGUGGAAACUACAGAGCUAGAGUACGUUCGGGGCAGAGGGAAUUCCUGGUGUAGCGGUGAAAUGCGUAGAGAUCAGGAAGAACACCGGUGGCGAAUGCGCUCUGCUAGGCCGUAACUGACACUGAGGGACGAAAGCUAGGGGAGCGAAUGGGAUUAGAUACCCCAGUAGUCCUAGCCGUAAACGAUGGAUACUAGGCGUGGCUUGUAUCGACCCGAGCCGUGCCGGAGCCAACGCGUUAAGUAUCCCGCCUGGGGAGUACGCACGCAAGUGUGAAACUCAA